UGUGUGUGGUAUAUAAUAUUGAUUAAUUGAUUUUUCUGUGACAGAGAGAAGCCUAAUAAGUACUCUCUCACCACAUAUAAAUACAAAGGUCAUAUAAGUUACGACGUUUAUGCCUUGCUUCUGCAAGCUGGACUACUAUUCAUUCAAGCAGAAUAAGGAGAAGCCAAUCCCCAACCCCAAGAUAUGGGUUUCUUCAGGCCUGCCCUCCUCCUACCGUGGCUCCUCCUAUUGAUCGUCUCGGCAUCGGAAGACGGGGCUGUAGCUGAAGCAGCACGACCAUUAUCGAGCUUCCCCUCAUCGUCCUCCAAGCCAAGAUAUGCAAAGAUUCUUGCGACACUUGGGAUCGUAUGCAAGUGCUGCAACGGGAGCGAGUGCACGAGUACAUGGAACGGGUCCUGCUCUCAGCUCCAGUGUCUGCCAUGGAAGCUGAGUUGAGCUUAACACCUUAUAAUUAUUAGUACUCCAGGAGAUUUUUGUUGUCUCCGAUUCUCAGUUUACCUUUUCUGUCAACUACUGAUGUACAUAUUUGGGUUGGGGAAAGUACAUAUAUUCAUAUCGAAAACUCAGUUACGUUACAUAGAA